UCAGAAACGAACGCUGGCGGCAGGCUUAACACAUGCAAGUCGAACGAGAAGCCAUCCUUCGGGGUGGUGGAAAGUGGCGCACGGGUGAGUAACACGUGGGAACCUACCCUUUGGUUCGGAAUAACCGCGGGAAACUGCGGCUAAUACCGAAUAAGCCCUCCGGGGGAAAGAUUUAUCGCCGAAGGAUGGGCCCGCGGCGGAUUAGCUUGUUGGUGGGGUAACGGCCCACCAAGGCUACGAUCCGUAGCUGGUCUGAGAGGAUGGUCAGCCACACUGGGACUGAGACACGGCCCAGACUCCUACGGGAGGCAGCAGUGGGGAAUAUUGGACAAUGGGCGCAAGCCUGAUCCAGCCAUGCCGCGUGAGUGAAGAAGGCCCUAGGGUUGUAAAGCUCUUUCACCGGGGAAGAUAAUGACGGUACCCGGAGAAGAAGCCCCGGCUAACUCCGUGCCAGCAGCCGCGGUAAUACGGAGGGGGCUAGCGUUGUUCGGAAUUACUGGGCGUAAAGCGCGCGUAGGUGGUUUGUCAAGUUGGGGGUGAAAUCCCGGGGCUCAACUCCGGAACUGCCCUCAAAACUGGUAGGCUAGAGUGUGGGAGAGGAGAGCGGAAUUCCCAGUGUAGAGGUGAAAUUCGUAGAUAUUGGGAAGAACACCAGUGGCGAAGGCGGCUUUCUGGACCACAACUGACGCUGAGGCGCGAAAGCGUGGGUAGCAAACAGGAUUAGAUACCCUGGUAGUCCACGCCGUAAACGAUGAGUGCUAGACGUUGGGGGGCUUGCCCUUCAGUGUCGGAGCUAACGCAUWAAGCACUCCGCCUGGGAGU
rnacentral:rRNA from 1 species